rnacentral:misc_RNA from 1 species
GUUGCACAAGACCCCUUAGAUUGCAUUUCCACUUCCUGGUGUUACGCGGCCGUCGACGAAAGUCCGCGUAUACGAUGACGACAAUGAAGACGGAAAGGCAACCAGAGACAGUAGCCACACGUUUUCCUCAUUACCAAACGAGAUACGCAUUCACCAUGUUUUUCCAUCAUUUUCUCUGCGUCUUUCUUCCUAAAUCUUCUGCGUUUUUCUACACCCUUCUAUAUUUUUUCCGACACACAAACAUGCAAAUAAGUUUUAAAUAACAUAGUUAUCACGUGAUUGGUACACUGUUCCAAACUUUCUAUCUACGUAUAAAAAUUUGAACGUGUAAAACCGGAGCACUCUCGCCAGCAAACAUAAGUAUUUUUUCCGUUGUUGAACGUGCAACAACCAACGAUUAAGCGAGCACCGCCCUGUUGCUCUCACAACGAGCUUCUGGUGAACGGAGGAAGCACUCUUAAAAUCAGCAUGUAGCAAUUUCACGCGCGUUCUUCCUCUGAUUCGUACUUGAGAAGAAGGAAAUGAAUGGUUCUCUACGGAUUAACUCUUGACUGGAUCACUUAAAAUUGUUAGUUUAACAAUUUGCUUUAAUAUUUGUAAUUUUGGCGAUCUAAGUAAUUUUGAUAUAAAGGAGACUAUUCAAGAAAAUAAAAAAAAAACA